rnacentral:lncRNA from 10 species
ACUUUGGAGAUGGAAAAUGGAAGAAAUAAAAGAGAAAGCGAAAAAGAAAGAUAAAGGAAACGAAUCUGCAGAGAUAAACAGAGGAACUGAUGUUCUCUAGAGCAAAAUGAAGAAGUAAAUUUGAAACUAAAAAAGACUUUCGGGAGUUCCUUUUCUUUCAUCUUCUAGAGCACAGAGAGCUUCAUUCAGGGUUACAUGAAUCAGAGUCCAGCAUCUCCCAUGGGCACAUAUUUUAGUUUCAUGGACAAUAAACUUCCACUAGUGUUAAAUGAGUUACUUUCCACAAAAUGAUGCCUCCAGGAACCAAUCAGCCCCGAAGAUCCUAUCUGGAACACCUGGCUCUGGGGAGAGUAGGAAGUUCCUAAGAACAAAGGGCUAUAGAGAAAAGAAGAUGCAAAGAAAGGUGCAUGAGCCGGUGACUUCCUUUUGGCCUGGAAAAGCUUUUUGGAUCCCUUUCUCCCUGCCCUCCCUUAACCACUAGGUGGAAACGGAGGGUGCUUUAUUGUACAGAUGUACUAAAGGAUGAGUUUAAGGUUUCUCUGUUAUUAGUAGCUCAGAGCUUCCAACAGUGAAGCAGCAGCAAAGGGCACUGGUGGUUUCCCAAGUGGAGACGCUCAGAGGCUCCGUCCUGAGAUGGGGAAGUUGGGAUUAGCCUUCAUCAAUGCUGCAGGAGGAAUUUCUUCAAUUCCAUGAAUUUCUGGAGUUUCUAGCUGGAUAGAUGGCAAGCCUUAUAAACCUUGUCAUGUGGCUAAGGACAUGGAAGCCCUAUAAAGCAGCAGUCAUUACAGCAUCCCAGGACUCCAGGACUUCCACCAACUGUGGAAGAGAGGAUGUGUGAUCACCAUCAAAAUUAGUUUUCUAGUCAUUAGACUAUAAUCCCUUCAAAAGAUUCAGAACCCUACAAGAGAAAAACACCAUCACCAGAUGGCAAACUUGAGACCCAGGAUCCCUUCCUUCAGUCACACUGUUCAACUAAGACCAUUCUGCAGAUGACCACACAGGGCAGUGUUUCUAAAGCAUGUGUUGAAGAACCCUGUCUCUGAGAGAUCCUUCUUGAGAAGAGGAUUCUGAGUUCAAAUAACAUUGAGAACAUACUUGCAUACAUGUCUUCUCUAGCAGUUCACAAUGGACAUGAACAUUGUGAAUGCUCUAAGAAAUGCUAGAGUGGAGAAAACUGUUUAACUUUGUGUUACCUGGCUUCAUCCAAAGGUACUUAACCAUAAAGCUCC